UACGUAGGUGGCAAGCGUUGUCCGGAUUUACUGGGCGUAAAGAGCGCGCAGGCGGUCGUUCAAGUCGCGUGUGAAAGCCCCCGGCUCAACUGGGGAGGGUCACGCGAUACUGAUCGACUCGAAGGCAGGAGAGGGUAGUGGAAUUCCCGGUGUAGUGGUGAAAUGCGUAGAUAUCGGGAGGAACACCUGUGGCGAAAGCGGCGCACUGGACCAUAACUGACGCUGAUGCGCGAAAGCUAGGGGAGCAAACAGG
rnacentral:rRNA from 1 species